CUCCCGCCGCGUAGUGACACUGCCCAGGAGCGGGCCCACCGCCAGGGACGAAGGCAGCUGCUCGUGGAAGCUGGGCCGUUCAAACCCGUGGGAGGUGGGUCUGGUUCCUCCCCUUGCACUCCUGGUUCAGCGCUGGUGUAGCUUGGCCCAGCGGCAGGAGAUCAGGACCUGGUGUGGAGAUUUGUGUUAAGGGAAGGAGAGAUGUGAUCAUGAACUCAGGGAUUUAUUCUACUUGAAGUGGAAACCUGAGCUGAGAAGCUGAAUGCGAAGCAACCAAGAUGUCCCAAGACCUCAGGCACUUGUCAUAUGGAGGUCCAACCAGAAGGGGAGCACUGCGUCCCAGAAGGCACCUCCCACUGGUUUCAACAUCCAGAAGGCAAGCUGAGGAGGUAUGAUCCAAGUCCUCUCACCUCCAAUGGGAUGAGAUGAAGGAUAAAAGUUGGCAUGAUCAGAAAACUGGGGAGAAAAAGAGAGGACCAAAGCCUCUGGUGGUGUAAAUCAUUCCCAAUCCAUGAAUUUUACAGGACUCUGUUGAUGUACACCAGUAGAAGACCUCAGCCUCUAACACCUGUAAGCCAUGGACUCCUUUAGCGGUCAAGCAACCAUGUGUUGGAAAGGAGCCAGCAAGAGAGGGGGCACCUUUCCUUGGGAGAUCUUUCCCAAGCAGCCAGCAGAAGCCGAGCAGAACUUCCCUUCCUCCCUUUCCUUUGCCUGCCCACUAACUGCCCGGGCUGCUCACCUCUCAGAGCCAGGGUCCCUCCUCCACCGGCCGAUGAUUGUCCAGAGAACCAGGAGCUGUUUAUAGGUGGUAUCUGAAGACGCCUUUUUGAACAUAGCAUGUGCAAGGAUGGGAGGAUGAGGGGAGGGGGGUGGGGGAAGAGGAGAGGUACAGACACAGCACUCCUUGGCAGUGAUUUAUAGACUGGGUCAGGCACAAAUUGACUCGUAUGCAAGAAAUGUAAAUGGAAUCGAGACUUUUGAUGGAGAAGCUCAUUUUCAGACUUAAACGCUUUAGAUUAAACACACUCACACACAAAUGCUGGCGGGGAGGGUGUUUUAUAUAAUUUACAUUACAAAUCAAUUCAUUAUCCACAGAGGCAGGUUGCACUGAUUUUCAAGGAUCGGAGAUUUGAUGAAGAGGAUUCAUUUCAAGAAAUAAACCUUUUAAAUUAACCGCAAGAUGAGGGAAAUUUCUUUAUUUAAAAAAUGCGCCAGCCCCUUCUUUGUUUC